CUGCUUUAGAAGUCUUUGGAAAUGUAAGGUCAAGCGUCCUGCAUCUGGCAAGGACCUUACUGCGGCAUCCCGUGGUAGGAGGUAGAAAGGUAACACUCAGUGGUUAGGACUUAGGUCAUAGGAUUGGCACGCCCACCGCCCAGGAGAUGAAGCCUCACCACCUCUAAAAGGUCUCUCCUCAAAGCACUUUAGACUCCUAAAGUUUCCAACGCAGGAUCUAACAGGACACAUCCAAAUCACACUGCCUUCAAUGUCUAGCUUUCCCUUGCUACUUUUCUAAUGGACAAAAUAUAUAGUAUAUAUUUCUCAGGGCAGGACAGAAGGCUCAGCAGUUGCAAGCCCUUACUGCUUUCCCAGAGGACCCAGGUUCAGUUCCCAGCACCCGGAAGAAGGGCUCAUGGCUACCUACAACUCCGGCACUCCAGCUUCAAGGGAUCUGACAUUCUCUUCUGGCCUCUGUGGGCACUGCACUCAUGUGCACAAACUCCUACACACACACACACACUCACACACGCAUGCAUGCACGCACGCUCACACACUUAAAGCUAAUACAGAUAUAUCUUUUUAAAAAUCUCAUGUAUUUCUGAUAUACAACACGAUGUUUAUAAAUAUGGGUAUUUUCGAUUUCUCAUAACAGAUAUAGCCCUAGGGACUCAAAAUAUAUUUGUUCUUCAGUGAUAAACAAGAUGUUGGUGUGGUUUACACUGGAGGAAGCAUGAAGGACUCUGGCUGAUGGAACACAUCCCAGCAGUGACCUCUGAGCGGGGCGUCACUCCAACAUAAAGGGCUCUCCCACAGUAUGUCCGGACCAUCACAGACCUAAGGAGGUGGUCAGGAAGGGUAUGUGGGAGCUCCUCACGUCCUCUGUCACUCACGCCAUACACAUCUGGAACUCCACAUCUGGAAAAGUGCCGUUGGGCAGCUGUGGCCACCCAGGCACUGACGCAUGUCACCACUGAAACCAUGAGGACAUCAGCUGUAGCAUCCUGUCUACUGCGGUCCACUGUGGUCCUCGCUACCACGGGCAACUGAACACGAAUCCUCCCAGAGACACAAAGUUGUCUCUCUCACAAGUCGGCUUACCUUGCUUCUUGGAAGACUGUAGCUUUAGAUAUAGUGGAAGGAAAACCGUUUCACUUCCAAUUUAUUCAUAUUUACUUUGGGUGUGAGUAUGUGCCUGCGUGUGUGUACGUACACAGUGUGUACGCUUGGUGUCUGCAGAGGCCAGCAGUAGGUGUCCAAUCCCCUAGAACUGGAAUUACAGGUGCACUGGGUGCUAGAAACUAAACCUGGGCCCUCGGCAAGUGUUCUCAACCACGGAGCCCCGUAAGUUCGGGCUAGCCUUGAACUCAUGACCCUCCUGCCUCCUCGUCUGUAGCCUAUCUUACUGUUGUGUACCACCUCAGCCUGUUUCACUUGAUAGUCCAUUUCUUGGCUUUAGUUUUUCCUUUUGGAUAUAAGGAAUACAAAUUGUUCUUGCUUCUGGGGGCCAGGCUUCACAGUAUCUAAGACAGCCAUGCCAAACUAACCCAGUCCUCUCUUCUUUGGUUCUAAUCUUAGUUCUUUCAUCCACUUCUUAAAGGGGAACUGCAUUCGCUCCUGUCCUGGAAACGUUUCUCCUCAAGCAGUGAACAUUCCCUGACCCGAGCUGCACCCUGGGAAAGGAAGGAUGAACCAGCCCCCUGCUAGGAAUUCCUUACCUUGGGAUGACAACGUAAUUUUCCUUCCUGGGGAUAUUCUCGGAGAAUAAGCCUUUGUCCCAUUGAUUCCUGGCUACCCCUGACUAGUCAUUAACCAAAAGACAGCACCGCAUAGAACGCAAUAAGGCCAUUAGGUCCUUGUCACCCUGGAUUCUCAGGAGGAAAGGGGUAACAGAAAACACUGGAAUGGAGAGAUUCUUUACCCUGACUUGGAGCAAACAAUUAUCUCAUACGUCUGGCUCUUCAGCCUCUAAGAACCAGUCCGUCCCUUUCUAGAAAAUUCCUUCCUGAUUAAGUUACAGUCCAUCUCGGUUGCAUACAAAGAAAGAACUCCAGUCAUGGAGACACACUUCUGUAACCUUAGUGCCCAGGAGGCUGAGGCAGGGUGAUUACUGUCAGUUUAAGGCCAGCCUGGGCUACACAGUCUGUUUCGAAACUGAAUGUUAAGUGGUUCGUCACAGCCUUCAGAGCAAAGAACUCCUUAUUCACAAGGUUACCUAACCCGCUAGUAAAUUAUGGAGUUGAAGUUUGGUCUAACUCAGCCCAAAGGCAAGAGAUAGACUUAUAGACUCCAUCCCCUCAGUGGUUACAGCCCACAAGACAUUGUGGAUGAGCUACCUUUUCACACGUACCUAAAGGCCUUGGAGAAGAGGUGGGGUUGGGAUAAUAAGUGAGACACCAGAGGCGAAACCACACUGCAGAUGGCCCAGCCUGCCUCCAUGUGCUUACAAGGGUGCAAACCAAGGAUGAGGGUCGUGAGGGUUGAGGUGUAGAAAAGGCAGGAUGGAAGGCUGGGGCAGGCUUCAUUCAGCGCCUCAGGACUGGGCUCAGCUGCCUUUCCCUUGGAGGCCUCGCUUCUGAGGUAACAACAAAGUCACAUCUGUCUUCUUAGUGUCUCGGCUCUCAGAACCAUGGCUGUCAGCUCUGGUUAGGAUGGCUCUUCGGGAAGGAGACUUGCAGCAGAGGAAAU
ensembl:lncRNA